rnacentral:rRNA from 1 species
UACAGAGGUCCCGAGCGUUGUUCGGAUUCAUUGGGCGUAAAGGGUGCGUAGGCGGCUUGUCGCGUCGACUGUGAAAUCUCAGGGCUCAACUCUGACAUUGCAGUCGAUACGGGCAGGCUAGAGUUCGGUAGGGGAGACUGGAAUUCCUGGUGUAGCGGUGAAAUGCGCAGAUAUCAGGAGGAACACCGGUGGCGAAGGCGGGUCUCUGGGCCGAUACUGACGCUGAGGAGCGAAAGCGUGGGGAGCGAACAGG